rnacentral:lncRNA from 13 species
GAAAUGGCGGUUUAGUCUCAUUUUAAUUAAUUAGCUUAAUGGGUUGAUUGAUAAUCAAUUAAUUGAUUCCAUUUAAAUGGCUACAGUGGCUAACUGAUACCGUAUUAAAUGUCAUUGCUCUAAAACCAGACUAGACUGUCGCCUGGUGCUGGCGGGUGAGACCCAGCCCAGGGUGGUCAGAGGCUGCAUGAAGGCCCCAGGAUGUUUCUGUCCUCUGCUCUCCUGCCCUCCCACUGGGAAGCAGAUCUCCACCUCUGGCCUGGACUCCUGCACACAGAGGCUUCUGGGGACAGUGGGCUCCCAGCCCCUCCUGCCACACGGCCCAGAGGUGGCCUGGCUCAGCACAGUACCGAAUGCUGCCGACCAAAGGCCCUGUCUGGGCGACACAGGGAACUGAUGCCUGAUGACAACUCGGAUGUGCUCAGAAGCAGAUUCUUCCCCAGGGCCUCAGGAUAAGGGAUCAGCCACUCCAACACCUUGAUUUUGGCCUCGUGAGACCCCCAAGCAGAGGAUCCAGCCAAGCCCAUUGGACUUGUCACGUACUAGACUGUGUUAUCUGUAGUAAUUUGUUAAGCAACUAUAGAAAACUAAUAGAAAGCCUAAUAUUUUGUAAGAAGAUACAAAUCUGUAAAAAGGCAUUAUUCACUCACUCCAACAAGAGCAGUGAGAGAGUUAAGAACAGCUGCAGAGACGAAUGCCAGACCCUCAAGUGGAGUGGGCCAAAUGCAGCCUGUGGGCCCAAUUCAGGCACCGGCUGUCCCAGUACAGCCCACCAACUAAGAACGGUUAUUACAUUUGCAAAUGGUUAGAAGAAACGCGAAAAAGAAGAAUAGUAUUUCACAACACAUGAAAACUAUAUGAAAUUCACAUUUCAGUGCCUACAAAUACAGUCGUAUCAGAACAAAGCUCAUUGACUUACAUGCCAUCUACAGCUGCUUUCUAACUCCAACAGCAGAGUGGAGUCGUUGCAAAGAGUAGCGUAGCUUGCAAGUCUAAAAAACUUAUUAUCCGGCCCUUCAUAGAAAAAGUUGCCCACCCCCGAUCACUAGAGCUUUGCAAAACGCCAUUGUGGACCAGAUACACUGGGCAGCAACCAACGGAGGACAGAGCUCUGGGCGUUCUCUGCGUGGACAAGCACGGACAGCAAACUGAUUCAGGAGGCCUCUCGUGUCUUCUUGGCCACACACUGUCAAGUGGUGUGUGGGAAUCGUUUACACACAUGCACUAUAUCCCCUCUAUGGAAACAACAAUGCAAAACUAUUUUACGGCUUCUCAAAUAAAUGAACUAAUUUUUAGAUUAGAAAUGAUUUU